AGGGAGAAGAAAAUUCAUCAAAAAUAAAGCUUGGUCAAAGCAGAAGGCCAAAAAGGAAAGGAAGAAGAAGAUGAAUGCAAAGAGGAAAAAGGAUGAGGGUUCUGAUAUUGAUGAUGAGGACAUGGAGGAACUCCUUAAUGACACAAGGCUCUUGAAAAAAUUUAAAAAAGGUAAAAUCACAGAAGAAGAAUUUGAGAAGGGGCUGUUGACAAGUACCAAAAGAACAGUCCGGCUGACAGAGUCAGGUGUCUCGGACUCAGAAGAGGACAGUUGACCUGAGCCUCAGGUGAGGGCUACCUCACAGCUGGCCUCACAUUCCUACCCUUGCUGGAAGACUGUGGUUCAGACUGAGAGAAACCAAAGGACUGCACACACGAGCACAAGGAUCCUACCAGAAUCUCAGUGUAUUGAGUGUACAUAACAGAUCUCAGUAUUUAUUUUGAUUAAUUGUGCUUUUUCUGGGGUGACUUUUGUGCUUUAUUACUGACUUAAAGUGUAUAUAUAUAUGUAUGUAUGUAUGUAUUUUUCUCACUUUUAAGAAAACAGAUAAUAAAGUAUACUUGAUUUUAGGCCUUGUAAAUUUCUAAGUCACUUGACAUGCCCUGGCCUCCUCCCACCCCACACUUUGCAUUUCCUUUACAGCCCUACCAAGAGCACCCACAGGGGCAGAGGGGACUGUGUGUAGGGUUCUUUUUUCUCUUCUUUUCAUUGCAACAGGGCUACACCAU
rnacentral:lncRNA from 1 species